GAUGAAGAACGUAGCGAAAUGCGAUAAGUAGUGUGAAUUGCAGAAUUCCGUGAAUCAUUGAAUCUUUGAACGCACAUUGCGCCCCCUGGUAUUCCGGGGGGCAUGCCUGUCCGAGCGUCAUUGCUGCCCUCAAGCACGGCUUGUGUGUUGGGCCCCGUCCUCCGAUCCCGGGGGACGGGCCCGAAAGGCAGCGGCGGCACCGCGUCCGGUCCUCGAGCGUAUGGGGCUUUGUCACCCGCUCUGUAGGCCCGGCCGGCGCUUGCCGAUCAACCCAAAUUUUUAUCCAGGUUGACCUCGGAUCAGGUAGGGAUACCCGCUGAACUUAAGCAUAUCAAUAAGCGGAGGA
rnacentral:misc_RNA from 1 species